GACGAACGCUGGCGGCGUGCUUAACACAUGCAAGUCGAACGAGUGGCGAACGGGUGAGGAAUACGUGGGUAACCUGCCCUCUUUCUGGGAUAAGCUUUGGAAACGGGGUGUAAUAUCGAAUAAUGGGGGAUGGGGUCGCGGCCUAUCAGCUCGUUGGUGGGGUGAUGGCCUACCAAGGCGGUGACGGGUAGCCGGCCUGAGAGGGUGAACGGCCAAAAUGGGACGGAGGUACGGCCCAGGCUCCUACGGGGGGGAGCAGUGGGGGAUAUUGGACAAUGGGCGAAAGCCUGAUGGCGCGACGCCGCGUGGGGGGUGGAGGCUUUCGGGUUGUAAACCUCUUUCGGUAUCGAAAGGGUAGGUGGAGAAGAAGCGCCGGCUAACUACGUGCCAGCCGCCGCGGUAAUAC
rnacentral:rRNA from 1 species